CGACGGAUCUCACGUGGCGUGAAUCCUGCGAACUCCCCCAGGGCAGGAAUGCAGCAAGGGUAAGCGGGCUCUGGCGGGUGCGUGAGGUCCGUUCUAC
rfam:Corynebacterium variabile DSM 44702, complete genome.